rnacentral:rRNA from 1 species
AUGGAGAUGCUGGUGGAGGAGGCCAAGGUGGGAGAGCUCAUGGACGUCGAGGAGCUGCCCGGCUGCCGGGAGAAGCUCACGUCACGACGGGAACACUGCCGCCGCGGCCUGAUUUAUGUCGCCGGUGCGCCUUGUUCACGGCCUUCAAGCGUGGAUCCUAAUGGGGGGUGGCGCCAUCGAAGAUGGGAGGCCGACGGUGACCUAUGGCGAGCACAUGCCGGCGACGAAGAUGGGCGUCAGCGCUGCUGGGAUUGGGAGCUGGAGAUCCAAUAUCCUUGGGGUUUGCUUGAUGAAGUGGAAUACAAAUACUAUGAGGGGGGAAAGAAAUGGGUGAUAGUUAGUAAUGAUGAGGAGCUGGCUAUCAUGUUUGCUAGGCAUAACGAGAAAGAGAAUUUUCAUGUGAGGCUGCAAACUGAUGUGCUUGAGCAGGGAUUUGGACCUAGGAUGGCGGGUGCAACAUCUCGGGGAGAACCAAGUCAUCGUAAUGGCAUCUCUAGCCAGAAUAGUUCAGUUAGUGCACGGCGACGUGGUGGCUCGACAAGCGUGGGCACCGGCAGUAGGGUCCCCCUUGAAGUGGAGCCUAAUGCCUACAAUUUUGGGGUUGAUGAAGAGAAGCUAUAUUAUGAUGUUAUUCAGAAUUUACGACGGGAACCUCGGGCUGAAAACCAAGAUGAGGCUCACAAUGCAGUCCGUGUGGAUGAUGACGCAGUGGGUGAGGACGAAGACCUUGCAGUUGUUGAAUGGGACCCUUUGAACCCUCAUAUGGAAGAAGAUGAUGAAAAUGAUAGUCAACAUCCUGUUUCAUCAGAUGAGGAUUUUGACGAGGUUCCAAAUGAUGAUGGUCAACAACCGCAUGAUUUUGACGAUGAUCCAAAAUGUCCUCCAAAUGAUGAUUCAAGUGAGGCUCCAAAUGGUGAUCCAAGUGAGGCUCCAAAUGGUGAUCCAAAUGAGGCUCCAAAUGGUGACCAAUCUUCUGUUGUUGUGAGUUCUGCUAGGUUUGAAGAAGACGCGCAAGGUAUCGACAACCAAGAGGAGAAGAGAAGAAGCAAUGAGCACAAGGUGUACGAGGAGCAAAGUGAUGGCAAGAAGUUCAAGGAACAAACAGAAGCCCCAACGCUAUUUAUGAAUAAUUAUGAAACAUUAUGA